rnacentral:rRNA from 1 species
GUUGUAGUCUGGAGAAGUGCUUUCCGCGCCGGACCGUGUAUAAGUCUCUUGGAAUAGAGCGUCAUAGAGGGUGAGAAUCCCGUCUUUGACACGGACUACCGGUGCUUUGUGAUGCGCUCUCAAAGAGUCGAGUUGUUUGGGAAUGCAGCUCAAAAUGGGUGGUAAAUUCCAUCUAAAGCUAAAUAUUGGCGAGAGACCGAUAGCGAACAAGUACCGUGAGGGAAAGAUGAAAAGCACUUUGGAAAGAGAGUUAAACAGUACGUGAAAUUGCUGAAAGGGAAACGCUUGAAGUCAGUCGCGUCGUGCAGAACUCAGCCUUGCUUUCGCUUGGUGCAUUUUUUGUACGACGGGCCAGCAUCGAUUUUGACCGUUGGAUAAGGGUCAGAGGAAUGUGGCACCUCCGGGUGUGUUAUAGCCUUUGGUCGCAUACAGCGGUUGGGAUCGAGGAACGCAGCGCGCCGAAAGGUUGGGGAUAUCCCUACAUUCGCGCUUAGGAUGCUGGCUUAAUGGCUUUAAACGACCCGUCUUGAAACACGGACCAAGGAGUCUAACAUGCCUGCGAGUGUUUGGGUGGAAAACCCGAGCGCGUAAUGAAAGUGAAAGUUGAGACCUCUGUCGUGGAGGGCAUCGACGCCCGGACCUGAAGUUUUCUGACGGAUCCGCGGUAGAGC